GAAAUAUCUCACUCUAGUGUUUUUCCCUGUAAUCAUGUAUGAUUUGCUCUGUUUUUCCCUAUCUUUCAAUAUCCUGGUUAACGUUGGUGUCGUGCUCACAUACCCCAUCCUGAUCUCCAUCGGCACAGUGCUCAGCGUCCCUGGAAAUGCAGCCGUGGAUCUGGUGAAGCACAAAAUGAUCUUCAGCGUGGUGAGGUUGGGAGCCACCAUCAUCAUCUGCAUCGUAUUCCUGCUCAUGCUGCUCCCCGAGGAAUGGGAUGAGAUAACCCUGAGGUUCAUCAACAGCCUGAAGGAGAAGAAGAGUGAGGAUCACGCCGACGAGAUCCCAGAGUCCAGCGUACACACGAGGAGCAGGAGCAGAGCUAACGGGACAGUGUCUGUACCACUGGCUUAGGGCUGGUGGACCUCCCCUGCACGCAGAUGUAUAUUCUGUGAAUAUAGCUGAAAUCCCCUCACCACCUGUAUGCUUAAAAAAAAAUGACAUUUAACCUGAACAAGGGAUGGACUGUAAGAUAAGAGAAAUACAUCUAUAAUAAAUGUUUACAUUUAUACACUUA